rnacentral:rRNA from 2 species
GAUGAACGCUGGCGGCGCGCCUAACACAUGCAAGUCGAACGAUUAAAGCACCUUCGGGUGUGUAUAAAGUGGCGAACGGCUGAGUAACACGUGGGCAACCUGCCCCUCUCAUUGGGAUAGCCACGGGAAACCGUGGAUAAUACCGAAUACUUCGAGACUUCCGCAUGGAAGACUCGAGAAAGCUCCGGCGGAGAGGGAUGGGCCCGCGGCCUGUUAGCUUGUUGGUGGGGUAACGGCCUACCAAGGCAAUGAUGGGUAGCUGGGUUGAGAGACCGACCAGCCAGAUUGGGACUGAGACACGGCCCAGACUCCUACGGGAGGCAGCAGUGGGGAAUCUUGCACAAUGGGCGAAAGCCUGAUGCAGCGACGCCGCGUGCGGGAUGAAGGCCUUCGGGUUGUAAACCGCUUUCAGCAGGGACGAGGCGAAA